UCAACUUGAGAGUUUGAUUCUGGCUCAGAACGAACGCUGGCGGCAGGCUUAACACAUGCAAGUCGAACGCUCACUUCGGUGAGAGUGGCAGACGGGUGAGUAACGCGUGGGAACGUGCCCUUCGCUUCGGAAUAGCCCUGGGAAACUGGGUGUAAUACCGAAUACGCCGUAAUCGGGAAAGAUUUAUCGGCGAAGGAUCGGCCCGCGUUAGAUUAGUUUGUUGGUGGGGUAAUGGCCUACCAAGACUACGAUCUAUAGCUGAUCUGAGAGGAUGAUCAGCCACACUGGGACUGAGACACGGCCCAGACUCCUACGGGAGGCAGCAGUGGGGAAUCUUGGACAA
rnacentral:rRNA from 1 species